GUUUGCGCGGGAUAUGUCUUGAGUAGAUAUGCAAAUUAAUUAAUUCACUCUUGAUAGUUUGAUAUUAAAAGGCUACCCACAUUAACCACUUCAGAAAAACGAAUUUAGCACGAAAGAGUUUUCUUAGAGAAAGCUUUGCUGUCAUUUAUGGCGCUACGAUCGCUAAGAUACUCGUAAUCGCUGUAAUUGCUAUUUACUGUUGAAGUUAACUUUUAAAGCCAAAACUUGUCUUCACAAAAGGGUAUCUUUGGCAGUUCUUCAUGAAGACCAUUGUUGGAAAAAUGAAUUAAAGAGCAACAUUAUGGGCUCCAAUGUAAAUUUAAUGAAAAUAUUGUACUGUCCUUUUUUCCACUUGUCACAAAAAAUAAAUUCUAAAAUUAUAAUUCCUAAGCAAUCUAUAGAAAAUUGUAUCCUAGAAAAAUAAAAAAAAAGAUUCAGAUAUCUGUUGGAUAUUGUGGAAUAAUAUUCGUACUUGAAAAAAAUAAAACUAAAAAUUAUUCCAAUAAAGGCUUUUGGGAUAAUUUGAAUUCAUCAAUUUUCUUAUAAUUAAAUUUUGAAGAAUAAAAUAAAUCAUGGGCGACGAAUCAACUACAGCUGGUGCCGCAAGUUUCGACAGCUUCAAGAUGUAUUAUAGCCAAAUCGUGAUUUUUGCUGUUUCGGUGGCUUAUGUCUUUCCGAUCUUUGGGAAACUUCUAGAUGAUGAACCAAUAGAAUGGUGUUCGAAAUUAAAGACCGGAUGGAAUUACAUUUGUGACCGAGGGGAAAGAGCCAUAGAGAUCGAGAAACCCCAAUGAUUUGUUUGUGUUCUAUAGCUUUAAAGCUCUAUUUUGGUUUUGAAAAAUUCUGUGGAUAUCCUAUGUAGAUUUUUCUAUCUUAAAGAAAUUAAAUGGUGUUUUUGUGUGUUUAAAAUGAG